AGAAGGAGAAGUGCUCGAGAAUGUUGCCGUGUGAUGUCUGGAAACUGGAUGGUGACGGUGGCUUUGCAUGGCGGCUCGACGUCGAGGCUGCUCUCAGUCUCGGCCGUUCAGGAAAAUGAGGAUCAAAGUAGUAAAUAAAGAAAAAAAUGAAGCAAAAUAGAAGAAAAAUCAGGUUUUUUUUCUAAUUGAGGGCCGUCGGCAUCAAAAGAUCAAAAAGAAAGAACUAAACUGUGCAGCUUACUCCUGGAAGUGUAUAUAUGCAUGGUAAGUGUUGAACUCAGGGGGUUAUAAAUAGUACUGAAUAAUUUCAUUGCUAUGUCAAGCUGUCAUAUAGAUCAAGGUUUGAAGCUAGCCCAGAUUUUUGAUCGAAACAUCAAUCAACUUCACCAAAGCAAAUAAGGUUCAUGCACAAUAAUUUGUGUGAAAGAAUGUUGAAGAUGUUAUGAGGCCUAGUUUGUAUCAGCUAAGCCAAGUUUGUUAUAGAUCUGCUCAAGAUGAACAUGGAUUGAGUUAAUGCUAUGUAGAAAAACUAUGUAGCAAUAUGUAUAAAUCCAGAUCAAGGCAGGUAUGUGACUUUUAAGCA